AUUUUUUAUAUUACUAUUAUAAAAUUUGGAUUAAUCCAACGGGUUGACUUGAUAAACUAGUGAUCUGAACAUAAAAUCAAAUCGAUUUUUCAUUAUAAGAGAUUCACCUGGAAAAAAUUAAAUGACCCGAAGAGCCAAAAAAUAAUUAAUCAAAUUAAAAAACUAAAUAAAAAUUUGAAAGGAAUUCAAGCAUUCUUUCCAGUAUAAAAAAUUUAACUAAGUAAAAAGAAAAAAGAAAAAUGAAAUUGCAUGUAAAAAGAUUUUCAAAAUAUAUUAUGUAAAAAUAAAAUAAAAAAAUUACAAAACAAAAAA
rnacentral:misc_RNA from 1 species